AUUCAGUCAUCUUUUUCCACAGGGAAGUCGUGACAACAUGAGUGUCAUCAUCAUUUCCCUACCAGGGUCCCCCAAGGUCACAGAUGAAGCAAUCAAGAACGAACAAAAAGUUGAGGCAGAACUGGAGGCAAAGCUCGAAGCAUUACUAGAAGAGGAGACUAACAUAGCUGAAGUGGAUGUGAGCUAUGCAAUGCAAUCCUUGUCCCUGGAAGAAAUACAGGGAUUGCCACCUGGAGGAGGGCUUGCUUCUAAGUAA